UGGGGAAUUGUUCGCAAUGGGCGCAAGCCUGACGACGCAACGCCGCGUGGAGGAUGAAGAUCUUCGGGUCGUAAACUCCUGUCGAGCGGGACGAACACCUAUCCAGCUAACAUCUGGACUGGCUGACGGUACCGCUAAAGGAAGCCCCGGCUAACUCCGUGCCAGCAGCCGCGGUAAUACGGGGGGGGCAAGCGUUGUUCGGAAUUACUGGGCGUAAAGGGCUCGUAGGCGGCCAACUAAGUCAGACGUGAAAUCCCCAGGCUCAACCUGGGAACUGCGUCUGAUACUGGAUGGCUUGAAUCCGGGAGAGGGAUGCAGAAUUCCAGGUGUAGCGGUGAAAUGCGUAGAUAUCUGGAGGAAUACCGGUGGCGAAGGCGGCAUCCUGGACCGGCAUUGACGCUGAGGAGCGAAAGCUAGGGGAGCAAACGG
rnacentral:rRNA from 1 species